rnacentral:rRNA from 1 species
CGAACGCUGGCGGCGCGUCUUAAGCAUGCAAGUCGGACGGCAAGGGUUGUGCUUGCACAACUCCUAGAGUGGCGGACUGGUGAGUAACGCGUGGGUGACCUGCCCUCGAGGAUGGGGGAUAGCCAUUAGAAAUAGUGGAUAAUACCGAAUACGCUCAUGACCCUGUGGGGAUAUGAGGAAAACAGGCUACGGCCUGGCUCGAGGAUGGGCCCGCGUCCCAUUAGCUAGUUGGUGAGGUAACGGCCCACCAAGGCGACGAUCGGGUAUCCGGCCUGAGAGGGUGUACGGACACAUUGGGACUGAGAUACGGCCCAAACUCCUACGGGAGGCAGCAGCUAAGAAUAUUCCGCAAUGGACGAAAGUCUGACGGAGCGACGCCGCGUGGAUGAAGAAAAGGCCGGAAGGUUGUAAAAUCCUUUUGCUGAUGAAGAAUAAGUGUGGUAGGGAAUGACCGCAUGAUGACAUUAGUCGGUGAAUAAGCCCCGGCUAACUACGUGCCAGCAGCCGC